rnacentral:lncRNA from 1 species
CAAUUUUUGAACAAUUCCUAUCAUAGUAAAUUUCUUUUAAAAAAAUCACUUUUUACUCAAUUUUUGAACAAUUCUAUCCAUUUUUUUUCCUUUUAUUUUACAAUUUUAAAAGAAUUUUUACUCAAUCUUGCAACUUCUAUCUUGUGGAAAAUUUCUUUUUAACUCAAGCUCCAAAUCUUUCUUUGUCACACAUUCCAGGGUCAAUGUUGUUAGCCUUGUACUUUAAAAGUUUAAACUGUUAGAAAACGAUAUAUAUAUAUAUAUUUUUAUAUUUAACACUCCUCUUACCAACCGUCCCUAGAGCAAGUGGCAAAGGACUUGGUAGUUGGUACCCGAGACCCAAGUUCGAAUCCUAGUUGAUUUGCAUUUCUAGCUAAAUUUAUUUCUAAAUGAAAUAAACGAAGCGGGUAACGUGCUACCUAUCUCUAAAAAAAAAAAAAAAAAAAAAAAAAAAGCUCCUCUUACAUUCGGCCUCAAAAUUUUUUCUAAGGAUCAUAACGUGAACUUAAAUUAAUAAGAAAAAAUUAAUAAUACCAGAAGUCUAACGUGACUUGAACUCAGAACCUUCUGCUCUAACACCAUGUGAAACAACAUAUGGUGUCAGAGCAGGAGGUCUUGAAUUCAAGACGCUUGUUUCCCAGUUAUGCUCCUAUUUUAU